UACGUAGGUCCCGAGCGUUGUCCGGAUUUAUUGGGCGUAAAGCGAGCGCAGGUGGUUUAUUAAGUCUGGUGUAAAAGGCAGUGGCUCAACCAUUGUAUGCAUUGGAAACUGGUAGACUUGAGUGCAGGAGAGGAGAGUGGAAUUCCAUGUGUAGCGGUGAAAUGGGUAGAUAUAUGGAGGAACACCGGUGGCGAAAGCGGCUCUCUGGCCUGUAACUGACACUGAGGCACGAAGGCGUGGGGAGCAAACAGG
rnacentral:rRNA from 1 species